CCUUAACACCAAUUCAAAUAUGAAACUAACACCCAAAGCAACGAUUACUCAUUUUCGACGAAGACUGAAGAAACCUUACUGCAUUUUUAACUUACUUAAACCCCUUGAUACUACAUUCCAAUAGUCUAUAAUUUAAAUACAACAUGAGAACUCAGUUAAUCAAACAGCAAUCAACUAGACUACAUUAUGAAUCAAGUGACUAAAAGCAUAAACAAUAUGAAAGAAAUACAGCUGUGACACAAAUAGAACUACUGGCAAGAUUGCAACACUAUCUUUAUUUCCAUCCUCAAAUUGAAAUUUAUAUCAUGAAGAAUUCCAAAUCUGUACAUAGAAAUGAAAGGAAAAGAGGUGAAGAAACGGUAAUAGCAACAACCCAUAAUUAGAAAACAAUGCAAGGAUCCAACGUGUUUGGCCAAUAAAACAGUAACAACAGUAACAAAACUCAGAACCAAGUUCAAUAGCCCAGUAAUCCCAGCAACAAAACCAGGCUCUAAGAACACAGAGUCAUACCAUUUAAUUCCAGAUGAAUCAGAAAUGUUUCAGUAAUCGAAAACUUCAAAGAUCACUAAAGAAUAUCAAUGAAACAGUAGAAAAAAAAUCAGCAGUUUGUAUUUUCUGAAUUUUUCUCUCUUUUUCUCUCUCUAGGUCUAAAAGUUCUUGCUUAAAAUGUAAGGAAGUGUGCCUUUAUAGGCGAGGAAAU
rnacentral:lncRNA from 1 species